rnacentral:rRNA from 1 species
GACGAACCUUGCAAACGUUAUUCGGAAUCACUGGGCUUAAAGGGUGCGUAGGCUGUGCAGCAAGUUGGGUGUGAAAUACCUCGGCUUAACCGAGGAAUUGCGCCCAAAACUACUGUGCUCGAGGAAGAUAGAGGUGAGCGGAACUUAGGGUGGAGCGGUGAAAUGCGUUGAUAUCCUAAGGAACACCGGUGGCGAAAGCGGCUCACUGGAUCUUAUCUGACGCUGAGGCACGAAAGCCAGGGUAGCGAACGGG